UUUAUUGGAGAGUUUGAUCCUGGCUCAGGAUGAACGCUGGCGGCGUGCCUAAUACAUGCAAGUCGAGCGAAUGGAUUAAGAGCUUGCUCUUAUGAAGUUAGCGGCGGACGGGUGAGUAACACGUGGGUAACCUGCCCAUAAGACUGGGAUAACUCCGGGAAACCGGGGCUAAUACCGGAUAACAUUUUGAACCGCAUGGUUCGAAAUUGAAAGGCGGCUUCGGCUGUCACUUAUGGAUGGACCCGCGUCGCAUUAGCUAGUUGGUGAGGUAACGGCUCACCA
rnacentral:rRNA from 2 species